rnacentral:piRNA from 1 species
UAGGUGGAUAAAUGCAAGUGAACUUGCAUAGU